AGAUGAGUUUUUUGAAGGUUUGACAGAAGAGAGUGAGCACACACGGUGGUUUCUUACCAUGAGUGUCAUGCUAGGAGCUGUGCGUGCUCACCCUCUAUCUGUCAGUCACUCAUCAAGCCCAUCU